rnacentral:lncRNA from 1 species
GGAUCUUCGGGAAAAGAUAUCGGAUUGCCUCUUGAAACCGUUCUUCGAGAGGCAUCGCUGACAAAGAUGAGAUCUCACAGUCUAUCCCUAUUAUUUCUGACAGAGUUAAUUUUGGGCAAGCGAGACGUCAGUUACCCCCUCGACGAAAUCAUGUUGACUUCCAGGUGGCAACAUGUUUAAAUCAUCCUGUUGCCAAUAUAGAGAUGGGAUUUUGAAGUCACCCAUGACUAGUCUCUGAUCAGCACAGCCUAAAGCAGAAACUACAGAUCGAAUUGCAGAACGGUGGUUCAAAUAAACAACGGCAUCAGAUCUGGGUGGGAUAUAAGAACAGGUCAAAAAGAUAAAUGCUGUUCCAAUACGGAUUUUGACUGCAACUAAUUCAAUACCAUGGAUGUUGUUGAAUAAAAACAGCUCGGACGCAAAUGCCGUUUUCACUGCAAUAAGAACCCCACCAGCGAAUGAUGGACGAUCCAUUCUAUAAGUUGUGAACUUGUG